AUAUUGAAAAACACCAGAUGAUCUGCUUCGAAGGGAAUAAACAGGCCAAGCGGAUGCAGGUUAAUAAAACCCCCCAAAGCCCAGACAGGAACCACUUAAAAUGCCCAGAACAAAGCACACCGUGACAAAUUCUCACCCAACACACAAGUACACGCACAGGAAUGUUCCCAGGCAG
rnacentral:sRNA from 1 species